CCUACGGGUGGCAGCAGUGGGGAAUAUUGCACAAUGGGGGAAACCCUGAUGCAGCAACGCCGCGUGAGCGAUGAAGGCCUUCGGGUCGUAAAGCUCUGUCCUAAGGGAAGAAUAUUGACGGUACCUUAGGAGGAAGCCCCGGCUAACUACGUGCCAGCAGCCGCGGUAAUACGUAGGGAGAUAGCGUUAUCCGGAAUUACUGGGCGUAAAGGGUGCGUAGGCGGCCCUUCAAGUCUGAGGUGAAAGGCUGCGGCUCAACCGAAGUAAGCCUUUUAAACUGUAGGGCUUGAGGGCAGGUGUGGGGAGUGGAAUUCCCAGGGUAGCUGUGCAAUAGGAAGAUAGUGGGUAGAACACCGGUUGCGAUGGCGGCUGGCUUGUCUGUAAAUUGCUCGGAGGCAUGAAAGGGUGGGGAGCGAACAGGAUGAGAUACAUUAGUAGAC
rnacentral:rRNA from 1 species